ACAAAGCACUGAAGAUCAUUUUCCAUCGGUGGUGUUGGAUAACAUGCAUGUGUCCCAGGCUUUGCUUAUACAUAAUCAUGUGGAUGUAAAAGUAUGUUGUAUUAGUUAUCGCUAUUAAAGGCUGCUAUGUAUUGUGUGCAGUGGAAUCACAGCAGCCCUACGGCUAAAAUGUCAGUCUUCUAAUGCUGCUAAACGUUUCUGCAUCCCUAUACUCAAAGCCAUAUUCUGACUUUUUUUUUUUUUUUUUUCUAAAUGCAUGUUCCUAUAGUCCCACAAGGCAUUGGUCCUUUCCCAUUGGGAAGUCAUGAAUAAAAGGCAAUGAAGCCUACACGUCAGAUCUUCCUCAAUUAAUCCACCAUUAGCAUGUUUGGGAUCCACUACUGGAUGGUUAACAGGAGCUGGUGUAACUGUAUGCUGCCCAGAGCCAAUUAGGCGCAGCUAAAAAAAAAAAAUGAACUCUUUACAGCCCUGUGCUGGGAGCUGUCAGGGUUUUACGUGUUCAGAUGUGGAGGUUGGGGUGUAGUGGCAGCAGGCAGAUGGUGCAGAUCAGAUCGAUGUGAUCGCUAUUGCUGUUUUUUUUUUCCUCUCUCUCUUUUCCCUCUGGUUGCUGAAGCUGAGGGCGAUGGCUGAAAGCGCUAAGGCACCAGCCGGCAGGGAAUGAAUGUGUUUGGGGACCAUCAGCAGCAGGAUAUUCCUGAUCAGCAGGAUUUUCACCAAGGAAACACUGCUUCCAUUUAUCCCUUCUCACACAAGCAAGGAGCAGCUGCAUUUGCAGCCAGCGACUGGAUUGGGAACUGAAAGGGAUUCAUUGAGCUCUUGGACAUCCAAUUGAACAGGCUGGAACAGCUGGGGGGCGUACAUCAAGGGUUAUUUUGCAAGCAGGAAAGAAGACAUGAGAAGAGACAAGGACUUGGAACAAAGACAUUUUGGACUUGGGUUAUGAAUCUCCAUGACCUAUUUGGAUUCCAUUCUUCUGAUUUAUGGCUGUGGAUUUAUUGCCCAGUGUGCUGUUGCUCUGUGGCUCUCUUCGGUGACGGGUAUUCUUGGGUGGAUAAUACGGAUUACGUUGUUAUUGCUUAAGAAUACGCGUAGUUGAGGAGAGUAUCUUCAGCAAGGAAGCUCCAUGUCUCCAGCACCAAGGGAGCCCCUACUCUAGUGGCCAAGGUAGCACAUUUUCAUACAUUACUGGCAUAUAUGUGAUUUUAACAAAAUUCUGCUUCAUACAUGUUUCAGCUGAGGGCAUUUUAAACGGGCAGUGUAUUGUAUUCUCCCUUUUAAACUUCAGCUGAAAGCAAGUAACACUGCUCUUUUUAUUAUUAUUAUUAUUAUUAUUAUUUUUUUUUUUAUAUUAUUUUUUUCUUUGUUUUAUGGAAUGGUUUGUUAGGCGCUGUUGAUAUUUAUGCAUGUUGAUAUCAGUUUUUAAAGAGUACAAUUUUAAAAUUUAAAAACCUUGGAGGCCCCUUGUGUAAGCUUGAUUUUGUGGAUGAAUUAUGCAUAGCCUCAGAUUUACACCACGGCAACGCCUUAAAAUGCUGACAACCAGGAUCCUCUGGGAGUCGAGUGACAUAUAAUCCUUCUAUGGUUGGGGAAUUUGCAAUGGGAUCCUGCUCUGUGGCCUCUGUCUUUGCCCUGGGCCUAAUCUCUGCCCUACAUUUAUUACCCUUUGCCGUUGCACUCAGUCAUCUGGAUCCCUCACUCCUUUACUGACACACAGAACAAGUCCCUCUGGAUGUGUCAGACCUGCAUCCUGCACUGCAGCCUGAUUUCUUUGCCUGCUGGCAUUGUGAGGGUUAACAUUGCUGUGUUGCACUAGUCGAAUAGAUGCUGGGUUGUGUUUGGUUGAACCAUGGAUUUCAAAUUGCCAUUCUGAAACUAUUGGAAAUCUUUGUGAUAGCUUUUGUAACACGUUAAUGUCGCUCCAGGUGGCCAAUAAAUGCUUUGAUACUUUCGAGAACAA